UGUCCUACGGGGGGCAGCAGUGGGGAAUAUUGCACAAUGGGGGAAACCCUGAUGCAGCAACGCCGCGUGAAGGAAGACGGUUUUCGGAUUGUAAACUUCUGUUCUUAGUGAAGAAAAAUGACGGUAGCUAAGGAGCAAGCCACGGCUAACUACGUGCCAGCAGCCGCGGUAAUACGUAGGUGGCAAGCGUUGUCCGGAAUUACUGGGUGUAAAGGGCGUGUAGGCGGGAAAGCAAGGCAGGUGUGAAAACCACGGGCUCAACCUGUGGCCUGCAUUUGAAACUGUUUUUCUUGCGUACUGGAGAG
rnacentral:rRNA from 1 species